rnacentral:rRNA from 1 species
GAAUUGACGGGGGCCCGCACAAGCGGUGGAGCAUGUGGUUUAAUUCGAUGCAACGCGAAGAACCUUACCUGGUCUUGACAUCCACGGAAGUUUUCAGAGAUGAGAAUGUGCCUUCGGGAACCGUGAGACAGGUGCUGCAUGGCUGUCGUCAGCUCGUGUUGUGAAAUGUUGGGUUAAGUCCCGCAACGAGCGCAACCCUUAUCCUUUGUUGCCAGCGGUCCGGCCGGGAACUCAAAGGAGACUGCCAGUGAUAAACUGGAGGAAGGUGGGGAUGACGUCAAGUCAUCAUGGCCCUUACGACCAGGGCUACACACGUGCUACAAUGGCGCAUACAAAGAGAAGCGACCUCGCGAGAGCAAGCGGACCUCAUAAAGUGCGUCGUAGUCCGGAUUGGAGUCUGCAACUCGACUCCAUGAAGUCGGAAUCGCUAGUAAUCGUAGAUCAGAAUGCCACGGUGAAUACGUUCCCGGGCCUUGUACACACCGCCCGUCACACCAUGGGAGUGGGUUGCAAAAGAAGUAGGUAGCUUAACCUUCGGGAGGGCGCUUACCACUUUGUGAUUCAUGACUGGGGUGAAGUCGUAACAAGGUAACCGUAGGGGAACCUGCGGUUGGAUCACCUCCUUACCUUAAAGAAGC